rnacentral:ncRNA from 1 species
UCAGAUAGAGGUUGCGUGAUUCAAAAGUAGCUUUUCAGAUGUGACAGGCACAGAGGAAGAAAAGGGAAAGGGAAAAACGCCGAAAGAGGAGAGAACCUGUAUCUCAAAUCUUGGGCAUACGGUUAAGAACCGCAUGACUGUCAUCUAUAAAAGGAUGGGGCGCUAUCUGA